GACGAACGCUGGCGGCGUGCCUAAUACAUGCAAGUAGAACGCUGAAGCGAGGAGCUUGCUCUUCUUGGAUGAGUUGCGAACGGGUGAGUAACGCGUAGGUAACCUGCCUUGUAGCGGGGGAUAACUAUUGGAAACGAUAGCUAAUACCGCAUAACAAUGGAUGACACAUGUCAUUUAUUUGAAAGGGGCAAUUGCUCCCCUACAAGAUGGACCUGCGUUGUAUUAGGUAGUAGGUGAGGUAAUGGCUCACCUAGGCGACGAUACAUAGCCGACCUGAGAGGGGGAUAGGCCACACUGGGACUGAGACACGGCCCAGACUCCUACGGGAGGCAGCAGUAGGGAAUCCUCGGCAAUGGGGGCAACCCUGACCGAGCAACGCCGCGUGAGUGAAGAAGGUUUUCGGAUCGGAAAGCUCUGUUGUAAGUCAAGAACGGGUGUGAGAGUGGAAAGUUCACACUGUGACGGUAGCUUAACAGAAAGGGACGGCUAACUACGUG
rnacentral:rRNA from 1 species